rnacentral:lncRNA from 1 species
UUCCACCACCGCCAACACAACCACCUCCAAACCUUGAAGGUUUUAUGAGAUUUGUUAGAAAUAAUACAUAAAUUAUGAUGUAACUUGUACAUUGGCUUGUCUUCUUUUAGUUUUUUAUCCUUUUAAUGGUGGUAUUAGUACCAUGUUGUGCUCAUUCCAGUGGGGGAAGGAAGACUAAGAAAGAUAUGCUAUUUUUGUCAAUAAAUAUGCUCUUUAUCAU